UGGGGAAUAUUCCGCAAUGGACGAAAGUCUGACGGAGCAACGCCGCGUGAGUGAUGAAGGUUUUCGGACUGUAAAGCUCUGUUGUUUAGGACGAAAGUGCCUGUUGCGAACAGUUACAGGUAUUGACGGUACUAAACGAGGAAGCCACGGCUAACUACGUGCCAGCAGCCGCGGUAAUACGUAGGUGGCAAGCGUUGUCCGGAAUUAUUGGGCGUAAAGAGCAUGUAGGCGGAGAUUUAAGUCUGUUGUGAAAAUGCGGGGCUCAACCCCGUAUUGCGAUGGAAACUGAAUUUCUUAAGUGCAGGAGAGGAAAGGGGAAUUCCCAGUGUAGCGGUGAAAUGCGUAGAUAUUGGGAGGCACACCAGUGGCGAAGGCGGGUUGCUGGGCCGACACUGACGCUGAUGCGCGAAAGCCAGGGGAGCAAACG
rnacentral:rRNA from 1 species